rnacentral:rRNA from 1 species
AGUGAACGCUGGCGGUAGGCCUAACACAUGCAAGUCGAACGGCAGCACAGUAAGAGCUUGCUCUUACGGGUGGCGAGUGGCGGACGGGUGAGGAAUACAUCGGACUCUACUUUUUCGUGGGGGAUAACGUAGGGAAACUAACGCUAAUACCGCAUACGACCAACGGGUAAAAGCAGGGGAUCUUCGGACCUUGCGCUAUGGAAUGAGCCGAUGUCGGAUUAGCUAGUUGGCGGGGUAAAGGCCCACCAAGGCGACGAUCCGUAGCUGGUCUGAGAGGAUGAUCAGCCACACUGGAACUGAGACACGGUCCAGACUCCUACGGGAGGCAGCAGUGGGGAAUAUUGGACAAUGGGCGCAAGCCUGAUCCAGCCAUACCGCGUGGGUGAAGAAGGCCUUCGGGUUGUAAAGCCCUUUUGUUGGGAAAGAAAAGCAGCAGGUUAAUACCCCGCUGUUCUGACGGUACCCAAAGAAUAAGCACCGGCUAACUUCGUG